rnacentral:rRNA from 1 species
AACGAACGCUGGCGGCAUGCCUAACACAUGCAAGUCGAACGAGACCUUCGGGUCUAGUGGCGCACGGGUGCGUAACGCGUGGGAACCUGCCCUUAGGUUCGGAAUAACUCCCCGAAAGGGGUGCUAAUACCGGAUAAUGUCUUCGGACCAAAGAUUUAUCGCCUUUGGAUGGGCCCGCGUUGGAUUAGCUAGUUGGUAGGGUAAAAGCCUACCAAGGCGACGAUCCAUAGCUGGUCUGAGAGGAUGAUCAGCCACACUGGGACUGAGACACGGCCCAGACUACUACGGGAGGCAGCAGUGGGGAAUAUUGGACAAUGGGCGAAAGCCUGAUCCAGCAAUGCCGCGUGAGUGAUGAAGGCCUUAGGGUUGUAAAGCUCUUUUACCCGGGAUGAUAAUGACAGUACCGGGAGAAUAAGCACCGGCUAACUCCGUG